CGAACGCUGGCGGCAGGCCUAACACAUGCAAGUCGAGCGGCAGCGGAAAGUAGCUUGCUACUUUGCCGGCGAGCGGCGGACGGGUGAGUAAUGUCUGGGAAACUGCCUGAUGGAGGGGGAUAACUACUGGAAACGGUAGCUAAUACCGCAUAACGUCGCAAGACCAAAGAGGGGGACCUUCGGGCCUCUUGCCAUCAGAUGUGCCCAGAUGGGAUUAGCUAGUAGGUGGGGUAACGGCUCACCUAGGCGACGAUCCCUAGCUGGUCUGAGAGGAUGACCAGCCACACUGGAACUGAGACACGGUCC
rnacentral:rRNA from 1 species